CGCGGCGCUGAGAGCUCGGCGCGGGAGUUGGCAGCGGGAGGAGAGGUGGCGGCGGACCCGGACGGCCCGGGCUCCGGAGCAAGUUCCAGCUGCUGGCCCUGCCGGGAGACGCAGGAUGGGGGAGAACAUUAAGAACCUACUAUGCAUCAGAUAUGACAUCAGGCUCUUGAGGAAGUCUUUAUUUGCAUCUCUACCUGUUAUCUUUAUUUUACAAGUGAGGUAAUGGAGACGAUCUGAGGCAAGCGUGUACCCUUUGAUGCUGCAGGCUGUCCCAGUAUGCUGCCUAGAGGAGCACAGCAUCCCCACUACCUUGAGUUCCACUCAGAUGGACUCUAGCUGAAAAAAGAAAAUCCCACAAAAAAAACUAAUAGAAUAAUCUAUUCUGCCAUUGUUGUGCCUUUGUUUUAGCCCAGUCAUGGGAACUGUCAGAACUGGAGUUGCUAAAUAGAGCUAUGCAGUCUUUCUCUGAUAAUGUGUAGUAAAAUGUACUACAACUUAUAUAAUUCAGUUCCAAGAACUAGAGGUCAGAAAUUACCACAUCGGCUAGAGGAAAUUUUUCCUUUUCAUGGAAUGUGGAAUAAAAUUAUAAAUCAUACCCUUAACAUUGUAGCAGUUGUAUUACAAGAUGUGGGCCCCGCCCUGCCUUUAUCUCUCUGACACUCUGCAACCCUUCUCUCUGUUCCGAGGAAUAUUGGGCUGAUAGGACUUUUUUAACUAAUGUCCCCCUGACUAGCCUAUUUUAAAUUGUAACACACCCACUCUCAAAUGUUCACUAUUCCCCCCUUAUUUUUCUUCAGGGCAUUUAUCUCCUCAUCCAACAUAUCACAUAUUUUGCGUGUUUAUCUUCCGUAUGAGGUUAGAGAUCUUUGCCGGUCUUGUUUUCUGCUGUAUCCCUUGCACCUGGAAGAGUGUGUGGCACAUAGUAGGUGCUCAGUAAAUAUUUGUUGAAUAAAUGGCCCCAUUUCUUUCUUUUUUUAAUGUAAGAUUAUAUCAUAAAAAGAAAGUGACUUGAAACUAACAACAGUUUCACAUAAAUUGUGGCUCCAUAAGUUGAUGACUGGGUUUUCCCAAGUGGGAGGGAGUGCUUUCUGGAGCUACCUUUUGUUCUUGCUUUGGAUAGGUUUUCAUUCUGAGAAUUGAGGCGAUGAAUAUUACUACAAUCCCAAUUACCUUGUUUUCUGGGAUAAUUGGAACAUGUUCUCUGUAGAUAGUGACAUCCUUUGGGGAAUAAACUGCUGUCUAGGUAAUUGAAAGACAAAGCAAGGGAAAUUCCCUGGGGACAGGCUGCCUGACAAGGAUUGGUACCCAGUCAUCUCUAAAGGUUUGGCUACCUGACUCUUGUCUGGAAACAGCCCUCUUCUUCCCAAGGUCAUCACCCCUAAUGCUCUAUGAUACCCCUCUCCCUCAACAAAAACCCUCCUGGGACUUCCCAUCAUGAAAACUAAAAUCCAAAAUCCUUACCAUGGCCUAUAAGGCCCUGCAUGAUCUGGCCCCUGACAACUCCUAUCCCUUCCCACUUUGCCAAGCCUGCCUCUGUCUACUACUAGAACCUCCCAGCUACUGCCUCAGGGUCUUUGUACUGCUGUUCCCUCCACUGGUCCUAGAGAUAAGCACAGGACUCAAGCCCUCACCACUCAGGUCUUCGCUCCAGUGUCUCCUCAGUAGCGACUACACUGACCAUGCUAUUUAAGUUAAACCCCUCACCCUGCUAUCCCCACACUCCAUAUCCUUUCCCUCUGGUCUUUCACCAUAGUAAUCAUGUUUGUUUUACAUAUUAACUUGUCUGUUUGUUUCCUUCCACUAGAAUAUAAACUCUAUGAGGACAGGGAUUGUUGACUUUUCACUGCUAUAUGCCCAGCACACCUAGAAUAGUGCCUCACACACAGAAAGCAUGCUGAAAAUAUUUGUGAACUAAAUACCUCGUAAAUUAUGUUGAACUCUUCCAUAUCUUUACUUAUUGUUUGUGUGCUUGAACUACCAAUAAUUGCAAAAGGUAUAUUGAAACCUCCCACUGUAAGAGGAAUUUUGUCAGUUUCUCCCUACAAUUCUAUUUCUGUUUUUAUGUUUUUAGGAUAUUUGUUUGGGCACACAGAGUUUAGCAUUGUUAUAACUUCCUGAUGGUGUUGAAAGCUUUUUAAGUAAUAUGGGAGAUGAAUUGCCAAAAUUGCCUGAAUUUUCCACCCCUCCCUGUACACACACCUCUUGCAAUGUGUCUUUCCAAUUCCUCCCAGAAUCUGGGCUGGCCUUGUAACUUGCUUCUGCCAAAAGAAUGUGGCAGAAGUGAUAAAUAGUUCUGAGCCUGAGCCUUCAUAAACCUUGAAUGCUUCCACAUUCUCUCUUGGAUCCCUGCCUCCACCAUGAGAACAGGCCUGGGCUAGCCUGCUGGAGGAUGAGAAGCUAUAUGGAAAAGAGCUGAGGACAUCCUAUACCAGUCAACAGCCAGCAGACCCCAAACAGGCAAGCCCAGCCAGGCUCAGCAUAGCCACCCACCUGACCUGCAGCUGCUCACAGAUGCAUGUGUGAGCCCACCUGGGCCCAGAAGAACUGCCCAGCUGACUUGUAGACUCAUGAGCAAUAAUAACUAGCUAUUAUAGUAAGCCUGUGAGUUUUGAAGUGGCUUGUUAUACAGCAUUAUUGUGGCAAUAGAUAAUUGAUGGUUAAUGCCUCCUCAUUUCGGUCGCAGCCUCAGAAAGGCUUUUCCGACUACCCAGGCAAUCUAAAUCUGCCUCCCAGUCUCUGUAUAAUACGGGUGUAUUAUUUUCUCAAUAACGCUUAUCACUCUCCAAAAUGAUUUGUUGACUACUAUCUGUCUCCCACACUAGACUGUCAGCGGUAUGAUGUCAGAGACCUUGUCCACCUGCUCAUCCUCAGCAUCCAGCACGGUACUGCACUGUCCAGCUGUGUGUGUCCACCAAGCACUGGAAAUGUGGCUAGUCCAACCUGAGAUGUUCUGGAAAUACAAAGCACUGGGUUUCCAAGGCUUAGUACAAAAAUUGUAUAUAUAAAGUAUCUCAAUUGUUAUACCGAUAAAAUGUUGAAAUAAUAAUAUUUUGAAUAUAUUGUGUUAAGUAGAAUAUGUUAUUAAAGUUAAUUUCAUCUCC